GACGAACGCUGGCGGCGUGCUUAACACAUGCAAGUCGAACGGAAAGGCCCUGCUUUUGUGGGGUGCUCGAGUGGCGAACGGGUGAGUAACACGUGAGUAACCUGCCCUUGACUUUGGGAUAACUUCAGGAAACUGGGGCUAAUACCGGAUAGGAGCUCCUGCUGCAUGGUGGGGGUUGGAAAGUUUCGGCGGUUGGGGAUGGACUCGCGGCUUAUCAGCUUGUUGGUGGGGUAGUGGCUUACCAAGGCUUUGACGGGUAGCCGGCCUGAGAGGGUGACCGGCCACAUUGGGACUAAGAUACGGACCAGACUGCUACGGGGGGCAGCAGGGGGGAAUAUUGCACAAUGGGCGGAAGCCUGAUGCAGCAACGCCGCGUGCGGGAUGACGGCCUUCGGGUUGUAAACCGCUUUCGCCUGUGACGAAGCGUGAGUGACGGUAAUGGGUAAAGAAGCACCGGCUAACUACGUG
rnacentral:rRNA from 1 species